rnacentral:rRNA from 1 species
GACGAACGCUGGCGGCGUGCUUAACACAUGCAAGUCGAACGGAAAGGCCCUGCUUUUGUGGGGUGCUCGAGUGGCGAACGGGUGAGUAACACGUGAGUAACCUGCCCUUGACUUUGGGAUAACUUCAGGAAACUGGGGCUAAUACCGGAUAGGAGCUCCUGCUGCAUGGUGGGGGUUGGAAAGUUUCGGCGGUUGGGGAUGGACUCGCGGCUUAUCAGCUUGUUGGUGGGGUAGUGGCUUACCAAGGCUUUGACGGGUAGCCGGCCUGAGAGGGUGACCGGCCACAUUGGGACUGAGAUAGGGCCCAGACUCCUACGGGAGGCAGCAGUGGGGAAUAUUGCACAAUGAGCGGAAGCCUGAUGCAGCAACGCCGCGUGCGGGAUGACGGCCUUCGGGUUGAAAACCGCUUUCGCCUGUGACGAAGCGUGAGUGACGGUAAUGAGUAAAGAAGCAACGGCUAACUACGUG